ACUCUCGUUGAAAAUUAUUGGACUCGAAGAAUUUGAAAUGACUUUACCUGAUGAACCUAACGAAAGAGAGGGAUUAGUUUUCUCAAAUUUGUUGCACCUGACACUACCAAAAGCGCAUUUCGGAAUGGUGUCUUCAGCCUAUGCUCCCUUGGGGCGAGACGCCAUUCCAGCUCGUGUGUAUAAAGAUCCAGGAGAUAAAAGUGUUCCGCUGCUGACCAAGCUUGAUCCUUUUGACCACAUGAAUUGCCUCUAUGGAGCCCACCCCGGGAGAGGUGGAGGCCUGCGGAUCGAGCCGGAUGGGGUGGCCGCCGUGGCGCGCGGGCGAAGAAGGAAAUGUUGUGGCACGUCCCUGAAGAGGGCAUCGGCGGUGGCACGCCAAUCGAGUCCACCACAUCCUGGGCCUCAAGAUCUUCUCCGGCUGUGGCGAUAGGAACCGCUUGCCGCCAUCGUCAAGGAAGCUGCACAAUAUGAUGGUGGUGGAUCCCGCAAGACCAGGGGAGUUUCCAUGAAAAGAAACGUGGUCAAUGGCUCCAGGGUGACGUGGACCUCCAGGACAAGGUAACGAGCAAAUGCUUCUUCGAGGUUGAGAUUGGCGGGGAGCGCGUGGGCGAGGUGGUCAUCAGACUCUUCGGCGAGGUCGUCCGAAAGACGGUUGACAACUUCCGUGCCCUGUGCACUGGUAUAGCAGGCUAAUCAAUACUAUGCAAAUUAGCGCUCUAUUUUGGUUGGGGAAGGAGACAAAGGGUACGUAUACAAGGGCCGCUUCUUCCACCGAAUCAUCAAGGAUUUCAUGAUUAAGGGUGGGGAUUUCCAGGAAAACAAUGUCUGAAGAGCAUUAGUGUCCUCUGUUCAGCUUUUUCUCUUUGUCUAUUCGGCAGCCGCUGUUGGUGGACGACGGCAGCCUCAGGAUUUGUUCCUUUUGUUCCUCAGGAAGUCUGGGUUAGUAAAUGUAUAUCAUCUGAGUCACACUGGUCUGUGCGCCAUCAGCAACUUUAGAGUGACACUCUUUUCGGAUUAGGGGUUUAUUCCAGGCUCAUUACACUCAGAGGAUAUAUCAACUACUCUUCUUAACACCAGGAGGAAUGAUGUCGCUUGCCAUGAAGUCGAAAACAACAACUAGGCCAAGUGUGUAGUAGUUGAUGGUGGAGAUUUGAAAUAUUGUUCGUGAAGGAUGCUGAUGUUAUCGCUAAACUCAAGGACUUCCUGAAAAAUAAUGUUUCUAUCAUCUAUGGAAGUCCUGAGUAUCUAUAAUGGGAUCUUACUCAAUACUUAAUUUGUUAUUCCUCUAUAUCCAGAUGCUAAUUGGAUAUACAUUUCACUCCAAAAAUUGAGAGGGCUGAUUCAAUUCCAAACCCACAGUCAAUUAUUCUAAACCCACUGAUGCCCUGUACUGUCAUGUGCAUGUCGGCUCUCAAAAGUACCAGCAACAUUUGAGAGCAUUAAGAGGAGAGUCGUCGGUGGUGAGCGUUGAGACGCUCCAUGCUUCUGACUACACCUCUUUGUUAUGGGAAAAAGCCUGUGGGUUGAUCAACUAUUGGUGUCUUGCUGUGGCUACUAUUGGGAGAUCAUGAAUGCUCUCUUCACACUCAGAAUUUGUACACAAUAAUAUUAUAUCUACUAUGGAAACUGGGGAAUAAGUGUCAAAACAGUUUUGUCAAGAAACCGAUUGAUGAUUUGGUAUAUUACAUAGGCCCAUUUUAUCA